rnacentral:lncRNA from 1 species
AGAAGCUUUCGCCUCCGCCUUCAGACUGGCCCUCAGGCUUCCCUGCUCAGAGGCAGGGAAUUGUGCAGCUGGAGUUUCAUUUUCCAAGAGGCAGGGUCUCAGUCUGUCACCCAGGCUGGAGUACAGUGGCACCAUCUUGGCUCACUCUAGCCUCGACCUCCUGGGCUCAAGUGAGCCUCCUACCUCAGUCUCCCAAAAUGCUGGGAUUACAAGCAUGAACCACUGUGACUUGCCUUCUUGGCAAUUUUAAAUGAAAGAAGAAGAUGGAAUAAUGCCUACUGAGGACUAUGUUUGAGGGGUGUUGUAUGACCCCGUUUUCCAUACCCAGCCAACUUGUCAUGUGACAAGUCCACAGAAAGAUGUUAUAUGACAGGAAUCUAUGAACUAGUCUUCCCUGAAAUGUACCUGACUACAGCUAACAUCAUAUCACAUGAUGAAAGACCGCGUUGUUUUCCCCUGAGGUUGGCAGAAUGACUGUCUACAUAGGAAUAGCUCCUCUGCAGAGACAUCUAGAAGAUGCUGAGAUAAUAUAUGUAAAAACUGACAAGCCCUUUGGGACAGAUACCAGCAAAUGCAAGGCGUAUGCUAUGGAAGUUUUAUCAUCCUAACAGAUAAGCCCGUCCCCAACUCCAGUGAGUGACUGAGAGACACGGGCAUGAACGCUGAGCUCAGAUGACAGCAUCUUUUCACAGCAGACCUGGGCCCAGCCCCUGGAAGCACACGAUGAUGAACUGUCCUCUGGUUUCCCAAGACUUCAAAAAUGAAACCCAGUGAUCAAGAGAUGUUUGGCUUUGAACACUGCGGGAAUUAAAGCCAGCACCCAGUUAAAGCCAGUGAGGACAGCACUCCAAGGUUUGGGGACGGUCUCAGGACACUAAUCCUGGUUCCUUUUCUAUUUUGCCUGGGUCCCUCCUGCCCAUCCUGGGAAGCCGUGGCAGCUGUUGGGGAUGUGGGGCCCCAGCUGCAGCUGUGGGUGAUUCGGAUGGUCUGUUGGUGGAAUGUGGAGCUGGACGGGUCAAGGAGCACAGUGUGGAAAGAGGGACAAUUUGCUACAAGUUGGAGAUAAGAGACAUGGCAUACUGUGAAACCAGUGCUGACGGAAGAAGGUGACUUUCUUGGAAGGUCAAGACACUUGCUUGACAGCGAUGUCCAGGAGGGCUAGGGAGAGUUCUGCUGGAAGUGAAGGCAGCACCUGAGGGUGGCUGAGGGAACUGGUCAGGGCUGGGAACGCCUCCAGCCCUUUGAGGAAUGAUUCGCUGAUUAAGAGAUGUUUGGCCUUGAAAAUUGCAAGAAUGAAAUCUCUUGGUGGGAAUGUGUAGCCAAAAGCCAGCACCCUGAGUGGCUCCAAGGUUUGGGGACCCUCUCAAGGCACAAAUCCCAGUUCCUUUUCAAUUUUGAAAAUCGUUGUGGGCGAUUCUGGAAUUGAGAAGUGUGCUGAGAGCCAUGGAUUUAACAUGACAAGAAUUUCCGCCCCUUCGUCACUGAGCACACCGCAAAUGCUCCAGGGCCAGGGACUUACUUGGGCUUCUGCGUGUCUUCCACAGUGUGCAUCAAUCCGCCGGGCUCUGGUUGGUGUUUAAAAAAAAAGAUGCAGCGAAGGAAUCUGGUGUGGACAAACGCCCUGGGCAUGGACCAAAAGCCUGGCCCUUGUGUCCCUGGCAAUGGGACGGUGAAGGACAGAAAGACAGCACAUCCAGUAGUGUCAGGAGCUUGGAGCAGGCAUUCGGAAGCAUCUGUUAAAUGUUAUUGAUGGAGGAUUGACAUAACCCACAUCUGCAUAGCUUUUUUGGUCUGUUUUUGGAAGUGAACAGUCACAAACAAAAACAACUUUGGUUCAGGUCAUUUAUAGGCCCAGAUCCUCUAUCCUUAGAGGUUUCCCACCAGAUAUACUAUUUCACUAUCUAUGCCAGGAAAGUUACGUAAAACCACGCAGAAUUUUACCUGACAACGAAAUAGACCUUUUCGUUAGAUCCUCCACCCCACCUAAAGCAGUUACACAGGCUGAAAUGAAACUGUUAAAGGAAUGAACUAACUUGGAGAUAGAAUCAUCGCCUUUGCUGAACACCAUUUUAAGAAUAUUGGAAUAUAUAGGGGUACCAGCAUAAUAGUAAAAUGUGCCCAUAUUAUCUAUAAUUUUAUGCUGGGCACUUUUUAGAAAUUAUUUUUUAUAACUUUGUCUUUGAGAUGAUUUGGCUACAAGUUCAUUACAUUUAGUUUACAACUGGCUUUGAUUUCUUGGCAUUCGUUGUGUAUUAUUAGGAAACCCCGCAGAGAGAAAAUGUAAACUCCAAAUUGCUUUAAAAUAUUAUGAUAGUUUUUAGGGAUAUUACACUGUGACAGUGAAUGAAAUGGACGUAACGUUCUGUUUUGUAGAUAUUUUGUGAAAUCUUUAUUAGUCUUGAUUUUCUUUGGAACAAGUCAUUCCUGUUCUGGGCUGAAGCCUGAAAAUUCCCUGACCUGUGACCCUGGCCCAAGGCUCCUCUUGGAUAAAACAGUGUUUCCUGGACCAGAGGGCAAAGUCACAGAAACAUGAUGUGACGAAAUCUAAAUAGAAAGGUAUUGAUUUGUUCUUCGUUCAUCAAAUAGUUAUUGGACUCCAGCACGUAUGAGUAGCAGGGAGCCUGGCUAGCACUACACCUUCCCCUCCUGCCUCUCAGGGUCAGGGCCACAGGCACACACAGAGCGAGGGAAAAUGAGGGGGUAGAGAGGCUGGUCCCGAGUCUCCAGCCCUUCUCUCCCAAUCCUCUCCCUGAGUGGGCAGGGAACUCUUCUCUUGGCUCCUCCAACUUCCAUCAACGUCUGCCCUUGGGUCUGGUUUUAAACUCUAAGGUGUAAAUGACUCAUAAUGGCUCAACAUUUUGUCCCUCCCAAGAGGUAUUUUUAAGUCUAAGGAAUAAAGAUUUAAUAGUAAAA